rnacentral:sRNA from 1 species
AUUGGGAAGGUACUGGUUUUACGUGUAGUUGCCGACGCAAUGGCAGCCUUUGCAGUGGAACCUCAGGGGCCCGCGUUAGGAUCUGAACCAAUGAUGCUGGGUUCACCCACAUCUCCAAAGCCAGGAGUUAAUGCCCAGUUCUUACCUGGAUUUUUAAUGGGGGAUUUGCCAGCUCCGGUGACUCCACAACCUCGAUCAAUUAGUGGCCCUUCAGUAGGAGUAAUGGAAAUGAGAUCACCUUUACUUGCAGGUGGGUCACCACCACAACCAGUUGUACCAGCUCAUAAAGAUAAAAGUGGCGCUCCACCAGUUAGAAGUAUAUAUGAUGACAUUUCUAGCCCAGGACUUGGAUCAACACCUUUAACUUCAAGAAGACAGCCAAACAUUUCAGUAAUGCAGAGCCCUCUUGUUGGAGUUACAUCUACUCCUGGAACAGGUUUCCUCAAGCAUCUGCUUCCUACAUAUUACUACAAUUUGCACAGUAUGGGAAUAUCUUAAAACAUGUGAUGUCUAAUACAGGAAAUUGGAUGCAUAUUCGUUAUCAAUCUAAACUGCAGGCUCGGAAGGCCUUAAGCAAAGAUGGGAGGAUUUUUGGAGAAUCCAUCAUGAUUGGUGUAAAACCAUGUAUUGACAAAAGUGUUAUGGAAAGCAGUGACAGAUGUGCUUUAUCAUCUCCAUCUUUAGCCUUUACACCACCAAUCAAAACUCUAGGUACACCAACACAACCUGGAAGUACUCCUAGGAUUUCUACCAUGAGACCUCUUGCUACAGCAUACAAAGCCUCUACUAGUGAUUAUCAGGUAUUUUAAGGAUUGGAUAAAAAAAGAUGUACUUUAAUGGCUGAGUGCAUAGCAUGCUUAACUUUUUCAUUGUAUUGAUUUGUAUGCCAUUAAAUGUUUCCUGAGGAGGCUAUUACCUUGAUGAAACCUUUACGCUUAAAAGUUUUCUGCUUUAAAGUUAACAUCUUGGCCAAUUGGAAAGUUAUCAUGAAUUAAAAAAAAAUUUAUUUGCCAUUCCUUUAAAUUUUUUGAGAGUUGUUUUAGCUUUUUCUAAGUUAUAUUUGCAUACAUAUGAAAUGUAUCCUGUGUGCAUCUUUGACAUGAGGGCGCAUUAAAACUCUAUUAAAUUGAUGACUAAAUUGAUGGUAUCCAAAGUGCAGAACCUUAGGUUGGAGUAGCUUUGGUUAUUUAAAUGAAGACAUUGACCAACCUCCAGACAGAAAAAAAUUUCUCACUUCAAAAAAGCUUAAAGAAGUUAAUUAUGUUCUUUGAAGAAUGGUAGAAGUAUUAUGACCUCAUUUGGUAUAUUAUUGUCUCCUACUGACUAGCCAAGUGUUCGAACUUAACCAGCUGCAGAAACAGGUCCUGAAACACACAGUACAUGAAACACUUGUGCUUUAGUAGGGCAGAUAGUGGUAGUUCAGUUUUUUGACUUCCUCUGAAAUUUGGAGAUUAUUCUAGAACUGUUUUUUUCUUUAGGUUCUAUUACUGUUAUUUUAAAUUUCCCAUUCUGUGCAGCUUUUGUUAUUCAAUUUUUCUUUCUUUUGUUUUGAGACAGAAUGUCUCUCUGUUACCUAGGCUGGAGUACAGUGGCGCUAUCCCAGCUCACUGCAACCUCUGCCUCCUGGGUUCAGGUGAUUCUCCUGCCUCAGCCUCCUGAGUAGAUUAUAGGCACAUGCCACCACGCCCAGCUAAUUUUUUGUAUUUUUAGUAGAGAUGGGGCCAUGUUGGCCAGGGUGGUAUCAAACUUUUGACCUCAAGUAAUCUGCCCACCUUGGCCUCCCAAAGUGCUGGGAUUACAGACCUGAGCCACUGCGCCCAGCUAUUCAAUUUUCUAAUUUAAGAAACAGAUGUUAUUUGCUUUGCCAAAGGAAUAAAAUUUUGGCAUUCUUAAAAGCAUAAGGAUAUUCUAAGUCCAUAUUUUAAUUUUAAAAAUAUACAGUUCAGGCCAGGCGCAGGGGCUCAUGCCUGUAAUCCCAGCACUUUGGCAGGCCGAGGCGGGCGGAUCACAAGGUCAGGAGAUCGAGACCAUCCUGGCUAACACGGUGAAACCCCGUCUCUACUAAAAAUACAAAAAUAUACAAUUUAGUGCUAUAAAUGCAUUUUGGUGUUUCUCUUUUAAAUGAGCAAUUCUAGAAUUGACUGUGACACUGAAGUAACAAUAACCUAACCGUUUUUUUUGUGUUUUUUAAUAGGUUAUUUCUGACAGACAAACGCCAAAAAAAGAUGAAAGUCUUGUAUCCAAAGCAAUGGAGUACAUGUUUGGCUGGUAGUAGAACACCAAGAAGGAGGUUGCUACACUAAAACAGAGUUAGCAGAGUGCUGCUGGUUCCUUCGGUUAGUUAUAUAACUGUUCCUGCAGUAUUGGAUAGCUAUCUCAUACUUCUUUUAGAAAGAAGCCUUUUUCAUUAAGCAUACAGCCUAUUUGUAGCUCGCACUUUAAAAGAUGCUUGAGAUACAUUUUAAAGAAAACUAAAAAUCCCUGUAAAUAGGAUUUUGUGCUUUCUGUAACAGUGCAUGCUUCAGCACAGAAAACUCAGCAUUGAUUAUUGUAAAUUAAAUAACUGAAAUUGUGGUGAGACGUCAUAGUCUUCAUGAGAACGUGGGGGUGAAUUUCAUGAAGGGGAACUAUAGUUAUUUCUACCGACACAAAUAUUAUAAUUAGCAAUUUGAAUUAUGGUCUUUUAAUUUAGAUAGUAUUUAAUAUUUUAAUUAUCCUUGUUUGUAUAUGUCCUGUCACAGAGUGUCCUCUUGGUGUAUUCUAAAACGAGCAUUCUUUUAAAAAACCUAAAGUUUCUUGAUAAUAAACAUUGUCAAUGAUA